AGGGUUUGAUUAUGGCUCAGGACGAACGCUGGCGGCGGGCCUAACACAUGCAAGUCGAACGAACUCGACCUUCGGGUCAUAUAGUGAGUGGCGAACGGGUGAGUAACACGUGAGAAACCUGCCCCGAAGACUGGAACAACCCGAGGAAACUCGGGCUAAUACCGGAUACCCCCAUCGGAUCGCAUGAUCUGAUGAGGAAAUGCUCCGGCGCUUCGGGAGGGUCUCGCGGCCUAUCAGCUAGUUGGUGAGGUAACGGCUCACCAAGGCAACGACGGGUAGCUGGUCUGAGAGGACGAUCAGCCACACUGGGACUGAGACACGGCCCAGACUCCUACGGGAGGCAGCAGUGGGGAAUAUUGCGCAAUGGGCGAAAGCCUGACGCAGCCACGCCGCGUGAGGGAUGAAGGCUCUAGGGUUGUAAACCUCUUUAGGCAGGGAAGAAAAUGACGGUACCUGCAGAAUAAGGUCCGGCCAACUACGUGCCAGCAGCCGCGGUAAUUC
rnacentral:rRNA from 1 species